CAGUAUGAGAUGCUUCUUGAGACAAUGGUUGACCAAAUGCUUUCAUGCCAUGGCAUGCAGGAUGCACAGUGCUCUGGGAAUGCCUCUAAGAUGACUUCUGCAGCAGGUUACUCUUUCUAUGAGGCUCUUUGGUUGGCCAGUGCUGUAGGCUCCACACUGGGUCUGCUCACUGGAGUGGACUCACACUGGAGACGUAGCCAGCCGUAGAUGAAGGACAGUAUUAGUGAAAGGAUCAACUGGAACUUUGAUCAUCGGCCAUUUGUAUCAACUUUAAAACAUCACAAAGGUGAAAUUCUAAUAAAGAAAAUGAAAGAUCACCACCCAUCCUUACACCAGCGUUAAUGUGCAUCUCUCUGACAGCUGUGAAGUCCAUGCCAAUCUGUAUUGCUAUAUGCGUGCAGAUUUCACCUCAUUGGAUCAUAAUGUACAUAGAAUUAUUUCGUGC
rnacentral:lncRNA from 1 species